rnacentral:rRNA from 1 species
UACGGAGGGUGCAAGCAUUAAUCGGAUUUAUUGGGCGUAAAGGGCGCGUAGGCGGGUUUGUAAGUCAGAUGUGAAAUCCCGGGGCUCAACCUCGGAACAGCAUUUGAAACUGCAUACCUAGAGGGUAGGCGGAGAAAACGGAAUUCCACAAGUAGCGGUGAAAUGCGUAGAUAUGUGGAAGAACACCGGUGGCGAAGGCGGUUUUCUAGCUUAUUCCUGACGCUGAGGCGCGAAAGCAAGGGGAUCAAACAGG